rnacentral:tRNA from 1 species
CGGGGUGUGGCGCAGCUUGGUAGCGCGCGUCGUUCGGGACGACGAGGUCGCAGGUUCAAUUCCUGUCACCCCGA